GGGAUCCCGUGUCCGACACCUGGCACCAUCUCGCCGGUCUAAUAAUGGGGCAGCUGUGGGGUCUCACCAUGGUGACGCUGGGGCUCCAUUCCAUGCCGUGGGGGCAGCUUGUGGGGCAGCAGCAGGAAGGAGCUGAGGUAUGAGUUGGCGAGUACGGGCACCGGGGGGAGGCCGGAGGAGAAGAAAUCUGAACCUGGGACGGGAACUGCAUGAAUGGGGGGGGGAAGUAUGAAUGAAAUGGGUCGGCUAGAGUUCAUUGGACUGGGGAGGAACAAUGGGGUGGUAUGGGGGGAUAUGGGGUGGUUAUGGGGCAGCUAUGGGGUGGUUAUGGGAUUGUUAUGGGGUCACUAUGGGGCAGUUAUGGGGCAGUUAUGGGGCAGUUAUAGGGCAGUUAUGGGGCAGUUAUGGGGUUGAUCACCUGGUAAUGGUGCCUCAGUGUUGAGUUGUGGGUCUGGCCGGGGGUGAAGCUGAGAUAUGGGGUGGAGUCCUCCAGCCUAGGGGGGGAGAAAUGGGGGUCCUUAUAGGGUCCCCAUGGGGGUCCCCUAUAGGGUCACUGUGGGUCCCUAUGGGGUCGUUAUGGGUCUCUAUGGGGUCACUAUGGGUCUCUAUGUGUCCCUAUGGGGUCCCUAUGGGUCCCUAUGGGUCCCUGUGUGUCCCUCUGGGGUCCCUAUGGGUCCCUAUGGGUCCCUAUGGGUCCCUAUGUGUUUCUAUGUGUCCCUAUGGGUCCCUAUGUGUCCCUAUGGGUCCCUAUGUGUCUCUAUAGGUCCCUAAAUGUCCCCAUGGGUCCCUAUGUGUCCCUAUGGGGUCACUAUGUCUCUCUUUGUCUCUCUAUGUGUCCCUAUGGGUCCCUAUGAGUCUCUAUGGAGUCUCUAUGGGGUCACUAUGGGUCUCUAUGGGUCCCUAUGUGUCCCUAUGUGUCCCUAUAUGUUCCUAUGGGGUCACUAUGUAUCUCUAUGUGUCCCUAUGUCUCUCUAUGGGGUCUCUAUGGGUCUCUAUGGGUCUCUACGGGGUCUCUAUGGGUCUCUAUGGGGUCUCUAUGGGUCUCUAUGGGGUCUCUAUGGGCCUCUAUGGGUCUCUAUGGGUCUCUAUGGGUCUCUAUGGGUCCCUAUGGGGUCCCUAUGAGUCUCUAUGGAGUCUCUAUGGGGUCACUAUGGGUCUCUGUGGGUCCCUAUGUGUCCCUAUGUGUCCCUAUGGGGUCCCUAUGUGUCCCUAUAUGUCCCUAUAGGGUCUCUAUGUAUCUCUAUGGGUCCCUAUGUGUCCCUAUGUGUCCCUAUGGGGUCCCUAUGUGUUCCUAUGGGGUCUCUAUGUAUCCCUAUGUAUCUGUAUAUGUCCCUAUGUGUCCGUAUGUAUCUCUAUGGGGUCUCUAUGGGGUCUGUAUGGGGUCCCUAUAUUUCCCUAUGUCCCCCUAUGGGGUCCCUAUGGGGUCACUAUGUGUCUCUAUAUGUCCUUAUGUGUCCCUAUGUUUCCCUAUGUAUCUCUAUGUGUCCCUAUGUGUCCCUAUGGGUCUCUAUGUAUCCCUAUGGGGUCCCUAUAUGUCCCUAUGUGUCUCUAUAUGUCCCUAUGUGUCCCUAUGUGUCCCUAUGGAUCUCUAUGGGGUCCCUAUGUAUCUCUAUGUGUCCCCAUGUCCCCCUAUGGGGUCUCUAUGGGGUCCCUAUGUAUCUCUAUGGGGUUCCUAUGUGUCCCUAUGUGUCCCUAUGGGGUUCCUAUGUAUCUCUAUGUGUCCCUAUAUGUCCCUAUGUGUUCCUAUGGGGUCUCUAUGUAUCUCUAUGAGUCCCCAUGUGUCCCUAUAUGUCUCUCUAUGGUCCCUAUGUGUCCCUUGUGUCCCUAUGGGGUCCCUUGUCUCUAUGGGGUCUCUAUGUAUCUCUAUGUCCCCCUAUGCCCCCCUAUGGGGUCUCUAUGGGGUCCCUAUAGAUCCCUAUGUCCCCCCAUGUCCCCCUAUGUCCCUCUAUGUCUGUGCUCACCACGUGACCGCGGCUCCCACCCGGUACCGCACGGGGGCGCUCCAGAGCAGCGAGUUGUCGGACACCGUGAGACGGGAUUCAGUGGGGCUGGAACGGGGAGAAACGGGGGUUACGGCCCCAUAGGGACACAUAGGGACACAUAGAGACACAUAGAGACACAUAGGGACCCAUAGAGACACAUAGGGACACAUAGGGACCCAUAGAGACACAUAGAGACCCAUAGAGACACAUAGGGACCCAUAGGGACACAUAGGGACCCAUAGAGACCCAUAGAGACACAUAGAGACCCAUAGGGACACAUAGGGACCCAUAGGGACACAUAGGGACACAUAGAGACACAUAGAGACACAUAGGGACACAUAGGGACACAUAGGGACCCCAUAACCACCCCAUAUCCCCCAUAACCUCCCAUAUGACCCCAUAUCCCCCCAUAACCACCCCACA
ensembl:lncRNA